rnacentral:tRNA from 1 species
ACCUGGGUGGCUCAGUCAGUUAAGCAUCUGACUUUGACUCAGAUCAUGAUCUCACAGCCCAUGAGUUCGAGCCCCGUUUCGGGCU